CCUACGAGUGGCAGCAGUGGGGAAUAUUGCACAAUGGGGGAAACCCUGAUGCAGCGACGCCGCGUGAGUGAAGAAGUAUCUCGGUACGUAAAGCUCUAUCAGCAGGGAAGAAAAUGACGGUACCUGACUAAGAAGCCCCGGCCAACUACGUGCCAGCAGCCGCGGUUAUACGUAGGGGGCAAGCGUUAUCCGGAUUUACUGGGUGUAAAGGGGGCGUAGACGGCAGCACAAGUCUGGAGUGAAAUCCCUGGGCUGAACCCCGGAACUGCUUUGGAAACUGGGCGGCUGGAGUGCAGGAGGGGUAAGCGGAAUUCCUAGUGUAGCGGUGAAAUGCGUAGAUAUUAGGAGGAACACCGAUGGCGAAGGCAGCUUACUGGAGUGUAACUGACGUUGAGGCUCGAAAGCGUGGGGAGCGAACAGGAUUAGAUACCCGAGUAGUC
rnacentral:rRNA from 1 species